GGGGUAUUAAGUUAAUCAGACUGUUUGUUUUCAAAACAAAAAGUAGUUUAGGCUAUACCUUG
rnacentral:tRNA from 1 species